rnacentral:rRNA from 1 species
GUCUCUCUUGAGUGGAUCCUGAGUACGACGGAGCACGUGAAAUUCCGUCGGAAUCUGGGAGGACCAUCUCCUAAGGCUAAAUACUCUCUAGUGACCGAUAGUGAACCAGUACCGUGAGGGAAAGGUGAAAAGCACCCCGGAAGGGGAGUGAAAUAGAACCUGAAACCGUGUGCUUACAAGUAGUCAGAGCCCGUUAAUGGGUGAUGGCGUGCCUUUUGUAGAAUGAACCGGCGAGUUACGAUUUGAUGCAAGGUUAAGCAGUAAAUGUGGAGCCGUAGCGAAAGCGAGUCUGAAUAGGGCGUUUAGUAUUUGGUCGUAGACCCGAAACCAGGUGAUCUACCCUUGGUCAGGUUGAAGUUCAGGUAACACUGAAUGGAGGACCGAACCGACUUACGUUGAAAAGUGAGCGGAUGAACUGAGGGUAGCGGAGAAAUUCCAAUCGAACCUGGAGAUAGCUGGUUCUCUCCGAAAUAGCUUUAGGGCUAGCCUCAAGUGAUGAUUAUUGGAGGUAGAGCACUGUUUGGACGAGGGGCCCCUCUCGGGUUACCGAAUUCAGACAAACUCCGAAUGCCAAUUAAUUUAACUUGGGAGUCAGAACAUGGGUGAUAAGGUCCGUGUUCGAAAGGGAAACAGCCCAGACCACCAGCUAAGGUCCCAAAAUAUAUGUUAAGUGGAAAAGGAUGUGGCGUUGCCCAGACAACUAGGAUGUUGGCUUAGAAGCAGCCAUCAUUUAAAGAGUGCGUAAUAGCUCACUAGUCGAGUGACACUGCGCCGAAAAUGUACCGGGGCUAAACAUAUUACCGAAGCUGUGGAUUGUCCUUUGGACAAUGGUAGGAGAGCGUUCUAAGGGCGUUGAAGCAUGAUCGUAAGGACAUGUGGAGCGCUUAGAAGUGAGAAUGCCGGUGUGAGUAGCGAAAGACGGGUGAGAAUCCCGUCCACCGAUUGACUAAGGUUUCCAGAGGAAGGCUCGUCCGCUCUGGGUUAGUCGGGUCCUAAGCUGAGGCCGACAGGCGUAGGCGAUGGAUAACAGGUUGAUAUUCCUGUACCACCUAUAAUCGUUUUAAUCGAUGGGGGGACGCAGUAGGAUAGGCGAAGCGUGCGAUUGGAUUGCACGUCUAAGCAGUAAGGCUGAGUAUUAGGCAAAUCCGGUACUCGUUAAGGCUGAGC